UAAUAUUGUGUGCUCUAGAUGAA
rnacentral:siRNA from 1 species